rnacentral:rRNA from 1 species
UACGGGAGGCAGCAGUGGGGAAUAUUGCACAAUGGGCGAAAGCCUGAUGCAGCUAUGCCGCGUGUAUGAAGAAGGCCUUAGGGUUGUAAAGUACUUUCAUCGGGGAGGAAAAAAACAAAAACUAAUAAUUUUAUUUCUUGACGUUACCCGAAAAAGAAAGCACCGGCUAACUCCGUGCCAGCAGCCGCGGUAAUACGGAGGGUGCUAGCGUUAAUCAGAAUUACUGGGCGUAAAGAGCACGUAGGUGGUUUUUUUAAAGUUCAGAUGUGAAAUCCCUGGGCUUUAACCUAGGAACUGCAUUUUGAAACUGAAAUACUAGAGUAUCGUAGAGGGAGGUAGAAUUCUAGGUGUAGCGGUGAAAUGCGUAGAUAUCUGGAGGAAUACCUGUGGCGAAAGCGGCCUCCUAAACGAAUACUGACACUGAGGGUGCGAAAGCGUGGGGAGCAAACAGGGAUUAGAUACC